UAAUAAACUGCACUUAUUGGCUAGACCAAAAAUUCUGGAACUUUAAUUGUAAGAAUAUAAAUGAGUCUAGUUUUAGGAAAAAUUAACAGAUCAUAAAUUGGAGUUCCGUAGCUCCAAAUAUAAAUAAAUUAAUAACUACGACUCGAGAAAAUAGCUUAACCAGAAUAUGAGUAAAAGUGUCAUUAUGGUUGAUUUCCUAAGGAAACAUGUUGUUAAAAUGCUUAUUAUUUUCAUAUGGACUUACUAAGCUUUAAGCUUAGUCCCUCCU
rnacentral:lncRNA from 1 species